ACGCACGCUGGCGGCGUGCUUCACACAUGCAAGUCGCACGGAAAGGCCCUGCUUUUGUGGGGUGCUCGAGUGGCGAACGGGUGAGUAACACGUGAGUAACCUGCCCUUGACUUUGGGAUAACUUCAGGAAACUGGGGCUAAUACCGGAUAGGAGCUCCUGCUGCAUGGUGGGGGUUGGAAAGUUUCGGCGGUUGGGGAUGGACUCGCGGCUUAUCAGCUUGUUGGUGGGGUAGCGGCUUACCAAGGCUUUGACGGGUAGCCGGCCUGAGAGGGUGACCGGCCACAUUGGGACUGAGAUACGGCCCAGACUCCUACGGGAGGCAGCAGUGGGGAAUAUUGCACAAUGGGCGGAAGCCUGAUGCAGCAACGCCGCGUGCGGGAUGACGGCCUUCGGGUUGUAAACCGCUUUCGCCUGUGACGAAGCGUGAGUGACGGUAAUGGGUAAAGAAGCACCGGCUAACUACGUG
rnacentral:rRNA from 1 species